GACGAACGCUGGCGGCGUGCUUAACACAUGCAAGUCGAACGGAAAGGCCUCAGCUUGCUGGGGUACUCGAGUGGCGAACGGGUGAGUAACACGUGGGUGAUCUGCCUUGCACUCUGGGAUAAGCUUGGGAAACUGGGUCUAAUACCGGAUAUGAACUGCCUUUAGUGUGGUGGUUGGAAAGUUUUUUCGGUGCAAGAUGAGCUCGCGGCCUAUCAGCUUGUUGGUGGGGUAAUGGCCUACCAAGGCGUCGACGGGUAGCCGGCCUGAGAGGGUGUACGGCCACAUUGGGACUGAGAUACGGCCCAGACUCCUACGGGAGGCAGCAGUGGGGAAUCUUGCACAAUGGGCGGAAGCCUGAUGCAGCGACGCCGCGUGGGGGAUGACGGCCUUCGGGUUGUAAACUCCUUUCGACAGGGACGAAGCUUUUUGUGACGGUACCUGUAUAAGAAGCACCGGCUAACUACGUG
rnacentral:rRNA from 1 species